rnacentral:rRNA from 1 species
UACCUUAUGUUUACCACCCUGAACACGCCCGAUCUCGUCUUGAUCUCGGAAGCUAAGCAGGGUCGGGCCUGGUUAGUACUUGGAUGGGAGUUUGCUCUUUUAAUCAGUCUUGUGGCAC